UCCCCGCCCCAGGCCCCGCCCCUGGCUCGCGCCCGCCCAGGCUCGCCCGUGGCCCGCACCCUCUUUAUCACAGCCCCGGGGCGCGCCCUUCCCUUCCCGCCCCUAUUUCCGCGCGCCCCGGGGCCACGUGGCGUCCGGCGGGGUCCUCGGUGUGGGAUCCCGUCCCUGGGGAGGGUCUCGGUGAGUCGGGAGCCUUCCCGUUCCUGCGGCGCCGCCGGCUGCGAUCCCUGCCGGACUUGGAGCGGCUUCGCGGCGCAGGCAGCCUCUGAACGGCCCCGGUGCUCCGCAGCAGGUGGAGUUAAGAGAUGAGUUUGUUACUGGCUUUGAAAAUCUUCAGUCUGGACUCUGCCACGCUGCUUCCUUGCAAGCAGAAAGAUAUCACGUGACUUCUGGAGCUACAGAAGUGCUAUGACAUCCGCUUAACUUCUCCACUGUCUCUGAGCCUCCUGUAUGCACAUGCAGUCAACAGUGGAGUACAUCUGCUUCUGGAAGUACGGAUGUUUGAGACGCUUGAAAACAGCAGCCUGAAGUGUGGAGUUCUGAUACCCUUGGAUAUGCUGUCAUGGCCCUUCCUGCUUCUUGGAAAUACUGCCUGAUUCAACAGUAAAGCAGAGUAGCAGCUGAAAAUGUGAAUAAUCUCUGAAUGAAGUGCAGGGAGUUAUCAUCGACGAGGUCAAAUGGAAAUACAGGAUUUGGUGCUACACAUAGUGCAGACUUGCCUAAGCAAAGAAGAAAUUAAGCUGAAAGAAUUGAUAAACUUGCCAGAACUGAAAGGGGGGGGGGUAAAGCUGUGACACAGAUUACUUAGUAAUAUGGUUUGUAUGUCAUAAUAUUCAAGUGUUACAUCUUAAUUCUUGUCUUGCUGCCAACUUUUGUGCGUGAACAAACGUGACUGUGAUGCUAAAUAAACAAACUCUCCCCCUCAACUUUUGCCUUCUCUUUCCCAAGGGAGUGAAAUCUGUCUUUAGUUUAACCUGGACCAAUGUCAGAGGAGCAAUGCCCGAAGUAAGCCGGCAUAAAGGCUGGAGGAUUGGUGCUGGCCUGUGGCCUGGCUGUGUACAGCACUGAGAUUUUCCAACUGAAAGACUUCUCUGAUACCAAUCUUAACAGCUGAAAUUCUGGACUUUGAUUUGAAACUAUUGCAAUCGAUUAAUAUCAGCUUUUUUUUUCAAACUGACAAAACGAAAAUGGGCCCAAAACUAAAGACUGAGUUACAUUAUUUACCGUGUUUUAAGUCAUUUGGUAGUAGAUAUGAGAUUACCAGACUGCAGAAGUUCGAGUUUAUCCUUUUUAUAUGAAGAUAAGUCUCCUAUGUAACAGACACCACCCUUCGCCAGCACAGCACUGCAAGCCUGGAUACUAGCACUUCCAGUUCUGUGUUUAUCUUUGGACACAGAAGGAAAAAUUUCACUAGAAGAUAACAGCAACUGGACGCCAGGUUCAGUGUAACAGACUGGAGUAAAAUGAAGUAUAUGUUUCUAAUUAAUUUAGUGCAAAAGGUAAGGAAUGCACGGUGGGUGAGAAAAGGCAGAUUCCUGAUAAAUACAAAGGAUGAUGCAUUUAGGUCUGCAUUGAAAAGAAAAUGGACAGUUGUUGGCAAAUAUGUGUUCCAACUCUGAAACUUGUGGUAACACCAUUAUCUGUUACUGUCCUGUAAAAUGUCAGAGGGAAAAAAACAAAAAAACCUAAACUAAACAGAUUUCAGAAAGACACAGAAAUAGCUUUGGGAACCUUUCUAUUUCUGUGUAUCUUUUAGAAAGAAUUACCACGUUUUUGGAAACAAGAGUUAGGUCCAAACAACUACGAGACUCAGCUGUGAGACUGUCUACCUUUAUUGGUCACUGAAGCCAAUGGAAAUUUAAUGCAUGCAUAAUUCUCGGAUUCUGUUUUAUUAUCUUAGUUUUAUAAUUUUUUAACUAUUAUUAGUUUUUUCUAUUUACAUUUCAAGAAAUGAACCAUAUAAUUCCAUAGACCUUUGGAAUGGUGUGGGGGUUUUCUAACGGAAGUAGGUUGGCAAGUUGUGAUUUUAGUUGGAUAUUUACAUUAGUAAUCAUAUAAUGAUUGCAGUGAAAGGCAGUGGUAGUAAAAGCCAAAAAUUCUGAUGGAAUGCGGGAAACAGCUUGAUUGAGGAAGGAUGUUAAAAAUGCAUGAAGUGAGUACAAAACUGUGUGACCAAAGGAAGUAGAACAGAGGAAAAAAACAAGGUACAGUUAGAACAUGAUACUGCAGACAACACGACAGUUCUGCUACACGCAUGUUUCCAUCACCUGUGUGUGCUCCUCAGUCACCUAACUGAUUUUACGUCUUCCCCCCCCCCAUUUUAUUACAGAACUCCAAUAUAAAUUAUUACUUUCACCAUUUUAUCCAGAGAAACAGACCUGUAGGAAAAAUGCAAGGGAUUAUUACAGUUCAAUUCUAAAACACUUUUGACAAAAGUCCAGAAUUCAGCUUACCUCUCAGGAAAACUGUAAACGUCUGAAUCCUAAAAUGGGAUUUAUCAUUGGAAUAUCCUUUCAAAGCAUGAAGAACUUUUGCAUCAAUCAUUUCAACUAUUUGUUUAUCUUUGAAA